GUUUUGUGUUAUGAUGACCGGUCCUUAGGAUCAAUUGUAUUGAGUACUAGAAAUGAUGACUAGAAAAUUACUUGGGAUGAGGAUCAUACAACUAUUGAAUAUUGCAUGGAUGAUCGACACAUAAAUAUUGACGAUGAUUCGCCCAAGAGUACAAAUGAUAUCCAAACUCGAUUCUAACUUGCUUUUGUAUAUGUAAAACAAUAUUCAACUACAUACUGUCUCUUGCGCUGUUGACCCAAUCUCUACAAAAGAAUGCUCGGGACCUGGUGGAUACAAUUAUACCUCCUCAGGAUCAAGAUGUUCGAGAUAUUAUAUCGACAAGGAAAAAUGUCUACUCAAUCUACAGUUGAUGGAAUAUUUUAUAUGCAUAGUCAAGAAGCAAUUGUAAAUCCAGUACUAACAAGAACACGCUAAAUUAAUUACAAGGCAAUUAGAACUUACAUAAAAUAUAUUCAUAUAAUGUAUAUAAUAUAAUAAUAAAAAAAUGAGUAUUAAAAAAUAUCAAA
rnacentral:lncRNA from 1 species